AUUGAACGCUGGCGGCAGGCCUAACACAUGCAAGUCGAGCGGAUGAAGGUAGCUUGCUCCUGGAUUCAGCGGCGGACGGGUGAGUAAUGCCUAGGAAUCUGCCUGGUAGUGGGGGAUAACGUCCGGAAACGGGCGCUAAUACCGCAUACGUCCUGAGGGAGAAAGUGGGGGAUCUUCGGACCUCACGCUAUCAGAUGAUCCUAGGUCGGAUUAGCUAGUUGGUGGGGUAAAGGCCUACCAAGGCGACGAUCCGUAACUGGUCUGAGAGGAUGAUCAGUCACACGGGAACUGAGACACGGUCCAGACUCCUACGGGAGGCAGCAGUGGGGAAUAUUGGACAAUGGGCGAAAGCCUGAUCCAGCCAUGCCGCGUGUGUGAAGAAGGUCUUCGGAUUGUAAAGCACUUUAAGUUGGGAGGAAGGGCAGUAAGUUAAUACCUUGCUGUUUUGACGUUACCAACAGAAUAAGCACCGGCUAACUUCGUG
rnacentral:rRNA from 1 species